CGGAGUCGCGGCCGUCGAAGAAGACGAAGUCGCCGCUCUGGACGCACUUGGCGCAGGGUAGGGCACAACUGAACGGUAGCAGCACAGCGUUGUGGCUCCAUCUGCGAGUUGUCAUCAUGACAGGCCUAAGGGGCUGUUUGAACCACAGCCAGCGUCUACCACGUGGACUGCAUAUACUGAUGAAAAUAACCUCCUUUGGCAAGUACUUACAAUAAUACUAAAGAACAAAAGAUUUUUUUUUUAAAAAAACCAAUCAACUAUUGAUGCAUAUCCAUGGAAGUGACAGGCCAGUAUGUUUCCUCACCCAUUCCCAAGGUUGGAGUCAUGGAGUCAGGAGUUAAACAGAUAGACCUCAAGUUUAAUGGAAGUUAUGUCAGAAGCCACUUUAGCAGAAGAUUUACAGUGAGAACCUGGUCUGUGCCUCUC